UCAAACUUGGUCAUUUAGAGGAAGUAAAAGUCGUAACAAGGUUUCCGUAGGUGAACCUGCGGAAGGAUCAUUAAAAUGCGCCCCCUCGGGGGCCCACCUAGCCCGUGGCUGCCGCCGCGGGUUACGUGUUCCACCCUCUGUUGAAACUUUAUCAGCUUUGCUUCGGCAGCGCUCCCCGCGGGCAGCCGCGGGGAGGUAAGGCUGUCGGAAGCCCAAUACAAAACCAGUUGAUGAAAUGUCAUGCUGUCUGAUUGAACCCAGUUUUUUGAGAAAUCAAAUAACACUUAAAACUUUCAGCAACGGAUCUCUUGGUUCCCGCAUCGAUGAAGAACGCAGC
rnacentral:misc_RNA from 1 species